rnacentral:lncRNA from 1 species
CGCCCGCCGUUUUCCACGGGACAGAUCGGCGUCCCGCGUCUGUACUUGCGUCCAGGCGGCUGGCGCUCGCCGCUCAGAGCACGGAUCAUCGCCUCGUCGACUCCUAGCAGUGCCCUCCGGGACAGGAAGACAGGAUAGGUAAUCUUCAGUUUGUUGUAUCUGUCAUCUAAUUUUCUCUAGUUUUCUUUCUAUUUGCCCAAGUCAAUGAGUUUGUGACAUUCAAUUGUAUUACUUUAAUCACUUCUAUUUCAUUGUUAUUUGUUAACAUGAAAUAUUGUUCAAAAUCCAAGAUGAAGAGGAUUCAAACAAUUGAAGAGGAAAUAUUGUUCAAAAUCCUUGAUUCUGCUUUGUCACUACAGCAACCGUAGAAAGAGCUUUCUCAGCUAUGAGCAUUGUCAAAACUGAAUUGCGGAAUAAGAUGAAUGAUGAAUGGAUGAAUCAUCGUUUGGUGUGCUAUAUUGAGCGUGAUGUAUUUGCAAGCAUUGAUGAUAUUAAGAUUAUACAGUGCUAUCAAAAAAUGAGGAAACAAAAGGGGCUACUACCUCGUGCACUUC